AUUGAACGCUGGCGGCAGGCCUAACACAUGCAAGUCGAACGAGUGGCGGACGGGUGAGUAAUGUCUGGUAAACUGCCUGAUGGAGGGGGAUAACUACUGGAAACGGUAGCCAAUACCGCCUACCAUCCGAUUUGCCCAGCUGGGAUUAGCUAGUAGGUGGGGGAAAGGCUCACCUAGGCGACGAUCCCUCGCUGGUCUGAGAGGAUGACCGGCCACACGGGAACUGAGACACGGUCCAGACUCCUACGGGAGGCACCAGUGGGGAAUAUUGCACAAUGGGCGCAAGCCUGAUGAAGCAAUGCCGCGUGUAUGUAGAAGGCCUUGGGGUUGUAAAGUACUUUCAGCGGGGAGGCGGUACCCGCAGAGGAAGCACCGGCUAACUCCGUGCCAGCAGCCGCGGUAAUUC
rnacentral:rRNA from 1 species